AAUUGAAACCAAAAUAGAGGUAUAUCACUGUUAAUGAUAAGAUUGAAACUUUUCCAAUU
rnacentral:tRNA from 1 species